UUGACCUCGAAUCAGGUAGGGAUACCCGCUGAACUUUAAGCAUAUCAAUAAGCGGAGGAAAAGAAACCAACCGGGAUUACCCUAGUAACGGCGAGUGAAGCGGUAACAGCUCAAAUUUGAAAUCUGGCUCCCUGCGGAGUCCGAGUUGUAAUUUGUAGAAGAUGCUUUGGGUGCUCGGCCCGGUCUAAGUUCCUUGGAACAGGACGUCGUAGAGGGUGAGAAUCCCGUAUGCGGCCGGGGUGGGUGCUCGUGUAAAGCUCUUUCGACGAGUCGAGUUGUUUGGGAAUGCAGCUCAAAAUGGGUGGUAAAUUUCAUCUAAAGCUAAAUAUGGGCCAGAGACCGAUAGCGCACAAGUAGAGUGAUCGAAAGAUGAAAAGCACUUUGGAAAGAGAGUUAAACAGUACGUGAAAUUGUUGAAAGGGAAGCGCUUGCAACCAGACUUGGGCGUCGCUGAUCAUCCAAAGUUUUCUUUGGUGCACUCGACGACGUACAGGCCAGCAUCGGUUGGGGUGGUGGGAGAAAGGUUGUAGGAACGUAGCUCUUUUCGGGGAGUGUUAUAGCCUGCGACGCAAUGCCGCCUACCCUGACCGAGGACCGCGCUUCGGCUAGGAUGCUGGCGUAAUGGUUGUAAGCGACCCGUCUUGAAACACGGACCAAGGAGUCUAACAUCUAUGCGAGUGUUUGGGUGCGAAACCCAUGCGCGAAAUGAAAGUGAACGUAGGUGAGAACCCUUCGAGGGGGCAUCAUCGACCGAUC
rnacentral:rRNA from 1 species